UGGAAUUUGGCUGAAUGGAAU
rnacentral:piRNA from 1 species